GAUGAACGCUGGCGGCGUGCCUAAUACAUGCGAGUCGAGCGAACGGACGAGAAGCUUGCUUUUCUGAUGUUAGCGGCGGACGGGUGAGUAACACGUGGAUAACCUACCUAUAAGACUGGGAUAACUUCGGGAAACCGGAGCUAAUACCGGAUAAUAUUUUGAACCGCAUGGUUCAAAAGUGAAAGACGGUCUUGCUGUCACUUAUAGAUGGAUCCGCGCUGCAUUAGCUAGUUGGUAAGGUAACGGCUUACCAAGGCAACGAUGCAUAGCCGACCUGAGAGGGUGAUCGGCCACACUGGAACUGAGACACGGUCCAGACUCCUACGGGAGGCAGCAGUAGGGAAUCUUCCGCAAUGGGCGAAAGCCUGACGGAGCAACGCCGCGUGAGUGAUGAAGGUCUUCGGAUCGUAAAACUCUGUUAUUAGGGAAGAACAUAUGUGUAAGUAGCUGUGCACAUCUUGACGGUACCUAAUCAGAAAGCCACGGCUAACUACGUG
rnacentral:rRNA from 1 species